rnacentral:ncRNA from 1 species
UAACAAUCGCCGCCGGGUGACACCCACCAGUUCCGUUAGGCCUUGAAGGAACUUGGAGGAGUGUCUUCUUUUU